rnacentral:lncRNA from 1 species
CCAUCAUCAAAAAGUUCUCUAUUGCUAAAUUCACAUUGGUCAAUGACUAAUAAAUGAUCAAUAAAAAAAAUGGUUAGAUCCUCAACCAAUGAUAUUGAGUGAAUGAAUUUACUAAAUGUUUGGAUUAAUUUAACAAUCUCCAAAACAUAAAGUAAUAGUUUUUAGUGGAAUAAUGAAUAGCACAUAAAAGUGGAGGAGAGGGGUGGGCAUGAUUCAAGGUAUCAAGACCAAUGCACUCUCUACGUUCUAUUAGAAUGGUCCACAUAAACAUGAACUAUUGCGUUCAAAAUUUAAUCCACACAUACAAAACUACGUGGAUCGGAGCUCAAGUCACUCGGUGAAGGUCAAACCCCAACCCCAGAAUCGCAAUGCAGUUAGGGUUUCGCAGCACCGACAUCACACGAAGAAGCUUCAUCAUCAAGGUUUAGGAAUCAACACCGCAACCUUCACACACGCCCAUCGACAACCGCGACUUGCCUGCACGCGUCGGGGUGAUUCGCCAUGGAGCGCUGGCAUCCAGCGUUGGUCACAUCGGCCCCGCUUCAUCUCGACGAUGCCGAAGUGGCUCCCGCUUCUGCGGUCGAGCGGCGCAUGCAUCCAUCGACAACGCCUGCGCAGCUUUUUGCACUCCAUGACGUGUCCAUGCAAUCGCAUCUGAGUGGUUGAACAGGGAUAUUAGAUCUCAUGAGUUCACGUCUUUGCAGAUCUUCGCCUUACGAUUCGGUCGACGACAGUAUGGAGACAUGGUUUGUGUUACUGCACAUUGUAGAUAUGUGCGUCACUUCCCCGUCGGUUGCGACGGUGUCCGCCGGGUACGUUAGAGUACACUAGCACACUAAGCAUG